rnacentral:rRNA from 1 species
GUGCAGCAGUCGCGAAACCUCCGCAAUGCGGGCAACCGCGACGGGGGACCCCCAGUGCCGUGGCAUCGCCACGGCUUUUCCGGAGUGUAAAAAGCUCCGGGAAUAAGGGCUGGGCAAGGCCGGUGGCAGCCGCCGCGGUAAUACCGGCGGCCCGAGUGGUGGCCGCUAUUAUUGGGCCUAAAGCGUCCGUAGCCGGGCCUGUAAGUCCCUGGCGAAAUCCCACGGCUCAACCGUGGGGCUUGCUGGGGAUACUGCAGGCCUUGGGACCGGGAGAGGCCGGGGGUACCCCUGGGGGUAGGGGUGAAAUCCUAUAAUCCCAGGGGGACCGCCAGUGGCGAAGGCGCCCGGCUGGAACGGGUCCGACGGUGAGGGACGAAGGCCAGGGGAGCGAACCGGAUUAGAUACCCCCGUAGU